rnacentral:rRNA from 1 species
UACGGGGGGGGCAAGCGUUGUUCGGAAUUACUGGGCGUAAAGGGCUCGUAGGCGGCCAACUAAGUCAGACGUGAAAUCCCUCGGCUUAACCGGGGAACUGCAUCUGAUACUGGAUGGCUUGAGAUUGGGAGAGGGAUGCGGAAUUCCAGGUGUAGCGGUGAAAUGCGCAGAUAUCAGGAGGAACACCGGUGGCGAAGGCGGGUCUCUGGGCCGAUACUGACGCUGAGGAACGAAAGCGUGGGGAGCAAACGGG